GCUGGUGGCGAUGCGCUUAGGGGACACACCCGUUCCCAUCCCGAACACGAUGGUUAAGACCUAAGCGGCCGAUGGUACUGCACUGGAGACGGUGUGGGAGAGCAGGUGGCUGCCAGAU
rnacentral:rRNA from 1 species